rnacentral:rRNA from 1 species
GAUGAACGCUGGCGGCGUGCCUAAUACAUGUAAGUCGUGCGGAGAAUGUAGCAAUACGUUCUUAGCGGCGAACGGGUGAGUAACGCGUUGGUGACCUGCCCCGAAGAUCGGGAUAACAGUUCGAAAGGACUGCUAAUACCGGAUGUGAUCACUGGCUUUAGAAACUGGUGAUAAAAGGAGAAAUUCACUUUGGGAGGGACCUGCGUCCCAUCAGCUAGUUGGUAGGGUAACGGCCUACCAAGGCGAUGACGGGUAGGGGACCUGAGAGGGUGGCCCCCCACAAUGGAACUGAAACACGGUCCAUACACCUACGGGAGGCAG